UACAGAGGGUGCAAGCGUUAAUCGGAAUUACUGGGCGUAAAGCGUGCGUAGACGGUUAUGUAAGUCGGGUGUGAAAGCCCCGGGCUCAACCUGGGAAUUGCAUUCGAGACUGUGUAGCUAGGGUACGGAAGAGGGAAGCGGAAUUUCAGGUGUAGCGGUGAAAUGCGUAGAUAUCUGAAGGAACACCAGUGGCGAAAGCGGCUUCCUGGACCAAUACUGACGCUCAUGUGCGAAAGCGUGGGGAGCAAACAGG
rnacentral:rRNA from 1 species